rnacentral:snoRNA from 1 species
GGCGCCUAAAUGUUCGGUGGCUAUGGCUAAUCCUCCAUAGACACUGUUUUGUAACUGAGCGCUAGAUAAAUGUGACCACUGAACCAUUGGUGCUGCUGUUAUUACCUAGCAGCACUUCACUGAUUUGUGGCCCACAUU